GUUUCUUUUCUGCCAAUGCUCAUUGCACUGGUUGCUUCUUUCCCAUGUAUGUCAAGGUCUUUUUCCUUCCUUAAUUCAUUCAUUUUGAGUUUCAUGUGACAACUGUGGGCUGCUGCCUUUCCUAUUUCAACUUUUUUCCCUCCUUUCCUAUUCCAGGCACUCUCACCCAAAUUAUUCUGACCCAGUCGGAUCCAGUACUGAAGAAACCUGGAGAAUCUCACAAACUCACCUGUGCUGUCACUGGGUUUGAUGUUAACAGCUACGCUAUGGGCUGGGUCCGACAAAAACCUGGAAAAGGAUUGGAAUGGCUUGUUCUCUACUAUAAAGCUUGGAGCAGUCAAUAUUAUUCCCCUACAAUUCAAGGGCGAUUCACAGCCUCAACGGACAGCUCCAACUUCUAUCUGCAAAUGAACAACCUGAAAGCAGAAGACACAGCUGUCUAUUACUGUGCGAGACGC